rnacentral:rRNA from 1 species
AAAUUGAAGAGUUUGAUCAUGGCUCAGAUUGAACGCUGGCGGCAGGCCUAACACAUGCAAGUCGAACGGUAACAGGAAGCAGCUUGCUGCUUUGCUGACGAGUGGCGGACGGGUGAGUAAUGUCUGGGAAACUGCCUGAUGGAGGGGGAUAACUACUGGAAACGGUAGCUAAUACCGCAUAACGUCGCAAGACCAAAGAGGGGGACCUUCGGGCCUCUUGCCAUCGGAUGUGCCCAGAUGGGAUUAGCUUGUUGGUGGGGUAACGGCUCACCAAGGCGACGAUCCCUAGCUGGUCUGAGAGGAUGACCAGCCACACUGGAACUGAGACACGGUCCAGACUCCUACGGGAGGCAGCAGUGGGGAAUAUUGCACAAUGGGCGCAAGCCUGAUGCAGCCAUGCCGCGUGUAUGAAGAAGGCCUUCGGGUUGUAAAGUACUUUCAGCGGGGAGGAAGGGAGUAAAGUUAAUACCUUUGCUCAUUGACGUUACCCGCAGAAGAAGCACCGGCUAACUCCGUGCCAGCAGCCGCGGUAAUACGGAGGGUGCAAGCGUUAAUCGGAAUUACUGGGCGUAAAGCGCACGCAGGCGGUUUGUUAAGUCAGAUGUGAAAUCCCCGGGCUCAACCUGGGAACUGCAUCUGAUACUGGCAAGCUUGAGUCUCGUAGAGGGGGGUAGAAUUCCAGGUGUAGCGGUGAAAUGCGUAGAGAUCUGGAGGAAUACCGGUGGCGAAGGCGGCCCCCUGGACGAAGACUGACGCUCAGGUGCGAAAGCGUGGGGAGCAAACAGGAUUAGAUACCCUGGUAGUCCACGCCGUAAACGAUGUCGACUUGGAGGUUGUGCCCUUGAGGCGUGGCUUCCGGAGCUAACGCGUUAAGUCGACCGCCUGGGGAGUACGGCGCAAGGUUAAAACUCAAAUGAAUUGACGGGGGCCCGCACAAGCGGUGGAGCAUGUGGUUUAAUUCGAUGCAACGCGAAGAACCUUACCUGGUCUUGACAUCCACGGAAGUUUUCAGAGAUGAGAAUGUGCCUUCGGGAACCGUGAGACAGGUGCUGCAUGGCUGUCGUCAGCUCGUGUUGUGAAAUGUUGGGUUAAGUCCCGCAACGAGCGCAACCCUUAUCCUUUGUUGCCAGCGGUCCGGCCGGGAACUCAAAGGAGACUGCCAGUGAUAAACUGGAGGAAGGUGGGGAUGACGUCAAGUCAUCAUGGCCCUUACGACCAGGGCUACACACGUGCUACAAUGGCGCAUACAAAGAGAAGCGACCUCGCGAGAGCAAGCGGACCUCAUAAAGUGCGUCGUAGUCCGGAUUGGAGUCUGCAACUCGACUCCAUGAAGUCGGAAUCGCUAGUAAUCGUGGAUCAGAAUGCCACGGUGAAUACGUUCCCGGGCCUUGUACACACCGCCCGUCACACCAUGGGAGUGGGUUGCAAAAGAAGUAGGUAGCUUAACCUUCGGGAGGGCGCUUACCACUUUGUGAUUCAUGACUGGGGUGAAGUCGUAACAAGGUAACCGUAGGGGAACCUGCGGUUGGAUCACCUCCUUA